AAACUUAAAGGAAUUGACGGAAGGGCACCACCAGGAGUGGAGCCUGCGGCUUAGUUUGACUCAACACGGGGAAACUUACCAAGGCCAAACAUAGGUGGGAUUGACAGAUUGAGAGCUCUUUCUUGAUUCUUUGGGUGGUGGUGCAUGGCCGUUCUUAGUUGGUGGAGUGAUUUGUCUGGUUAAUUCCGUUAACGAACGAGACCUUAACCUGCUAACGGACCUUAGUGUUUUUCUAGACGGUGUGAUUCGGAGCAAGAGUCCAUGGGCGUAAGCCCCGGUCUCGGACGAUGUCCACUGAUCCUUGGUGCGUUGGUGUUCCGCGUGCCAUCGGAGAGUCGAGUGUUCGCAUUCUUCGCCUCUGUGGAUUUCUCGGUUCAUUGACAAAGCGCCUCGGAGUACGUUUCUUCUUAGAGGGAUUGACGACUUAUAAGUCGUAAGAAACAGGGAGCAAUAACAGGUCUGUGAUGCCCUUAG
rnacentral:rRNA from 1 species